rnacentral:rRNA from 1 species
GAUGAACGCUGGCGGCGUGCCUAAUACAUGCAAGUCGAGCGAACAGACGAGGAGCUUGCUCCUCUGACGUUAGCGGCGGACGGGUGAGUAACACGUGGAUAACCUACCUAUAAGACUGGGAUAACUUCGGGAAACCGGAGCUAAUACCGGAUAAUAUAUUGAACCGCAUGGUUCAAUAGUGAAAGACGGUUUUGCUGUCACUUAUAGAUGGAUCCGCGCCGCAUUAGCUAGUUGGUAAGGUAACGGCUUACCAAGGCAACGAUGCGUAGCCGACCUGAGAGAGUGAUCGGCGACACUGGAACUGAGACACGGUCAAGACGCCUACGGGAGGCAGCAGUAGGGAAUCUUCCGCAAUGGGGGAAAGCCUGACGGAGCAACGCCGCGUGAGUGAUGAAGGUCUUCGGAGCGUAAAACUCUGUUAUUAGGGAAGAACAAAUGUGUAAGUAACUAUGCACGUCUUGACGGUAACUAAUCAGAAAGCCACGGCUAACUACGUG